ensembl:lncRNA
UGUGAAUAUUUCCGUGAAUAUUUUUGGGAUCAUUUUUAGAAUAUUUUUUAUUUCACCAACCAUCAUCACACUGAUCUCCUAUGAAGAUCACUCCUUUUGUUUUCCUGGCAAUAUUGUAGAACGCAAGAUAUGUGGCAAACACAGGUUUCCUUCCCCCCUUAUCACAUUUGAUAAUCUUUGUAAUCAAUCAUUCCUUUGAAUAUUUCUUGAAUAUUUUCAUUAAUAUUUCCGUGAAUAUUUCUGUGAAUAGUUCCGUGAAUAUUUUUGGAAUUUUUUUGGAAUAUUUUUAAUUUCACCAACCAUCAUCGGACUGGUUCCCUAUGAAGAUCACUCCUUUUGUUUUCCUGGCAAUAUUGUAGAACGCAAGAUAUGUGGCAAACACAGGUUUCCUUCCCCCCUUAUCACAUUUUUUAAUCUUUGUAUUCAAUCAUUCCUUUGAAUAUUUCUUGAAUAUUUCUUGAAUAUUUUCAUGAAUAUUUCCGUGAAUAUUUCCGUGAAUAUUUCCGUGAAUAUUUUUUGGAUUAUUUUUUGAAUAUUUUUUAUUUCACCAACCAUCAUCACACUGGUUCCCUAUGAAGAUCACUCCUUUUCUUUUCCUGGCAAUAUUGUAGAAAGCAAGAUAUGUGGCAAACAAAGGUUUCUUCCCCCCUUAUCACAUUUGAUAAUCUUUGUAAUCAAUCAUUCCUUUGAAUAUUUCUUGAAUAUUUUCAUGAAUAUUUCCGUGAAUAUUUCCGUGAAUAUUUCCGUGAAUAUUUUUUGGAUUAUUUUUUGAAUAUUUUUUAUUUCACCAACCAUCAUCACACUGGUUCCCUAAGAAGAUCACUCCUUUUGUUUUCCUGGCAAUAUUGUAGAACGCAAGAUAUGUGGAAAACACAGGUUUCCUUCCCCCCUUAUAACAUUUUUUAAUCUUUUUAAUCAAUCAUUCCUUUGAAUAUUUCUGAAAUAUUUGCAUGAAUAUUUGCGUGAUUAUUUUUUGAAUAUUUUUGAAUAUUUUUAAUUUCACCAACCAUCAUCGGACUGGUUCCCUAUGAAGAUCACUCCUUUUGUUUUCCUGGCAAUAUUGUAGAACGCAAGAUAUGUGGCAAACAAAGGUUUCCUUCCCCCCUUAUCACAUUUGAUAAUCUUUGUAAUCAAUCUUUCCUUUGAAUAUUUCUUGAAUAUUUUCCUGAAUAUUUCCGUGAAUAUUUCCGUGAAUAUUUUCGUGUAUAUUUUUUGAAUAUUUUUUAUUUCACCAACCAUCAUCACACUGGUUCCCUAAGAAGAUCACUCCUUUUGUUUUCCUGGCAAUAUUGUAGAACGCAAGAUAUGUGGCAAACAAAGGUUUCCUUCCCCCCUUAUCACAUUUUUUAAUCUUUGUAAUCAAUCAUUCCUUUGAAUAUUUCUUGAAUAUUUUCAUGAAUAUUUCCGUGAAUAUUUUCAUGAAUAUUUCCGUGAAUAUUUUUUGGAUAUUUUUGAAUAUUUUUUUAAUAUUAAUGAUUUUUUUUUUUUUUAAACAACUAUCAUCCCACUGGUUUCCUAUGAAGAUCACUCCUUUUCUUUUCCUGGCAAUAUUGUAGGACAAAAGAUAUGUGGCAAACACAGGUUUCCUUCCCCCCUUAUCACAUUUGAUAAUCUUUGUAAUCAAUCUUUCCUUUGAAUAUUUCUUGAAUAUUUUCAUGAAUAUUUCCGUGGAUAUUUCCGUAAAUAUUUCCGUGACUAUUUUUUGGAUUAUUUUUUGAAUAUUUUUUAUUUCACCAACCAUCAUCACACUGGUUCCCUAUGAAGAUCACUCCUUUUGUUUUCCUGGCAAUAUUGUAGAAAGCAAGAUAUGUGGCAAACAAAGGUUUCCUUCACCCCUUCUCAAAUUGAUAAUCUUUGUAAUCAAUCAUUCCUUUGAAUAUUUCUUGAAUAUAUUCAUGGAUAGUUCCGUGAAUAUUUCUGUGAAUAUUUCCGUGAAUAUUUCCGCGAAUAUUUUUGGAAUAUGUUUUAGUUCACCAUCCAUCAUCACACUGGUUCCCUAUAAAGAUCACUCCUUUUCUUUUCCUGGCAAUAUUGUAGAAAGCAAGAUAUGUGGCAAACAAGGGUUUCUUCCCCUCUUAUCACAUUUGAUAAUCUUUGUAAUCAAUCAUUCCUUUGAAUAUUUCUUGAAUAUAUUCAUGAAUAUUUCCGUGAAUAUUUCUGUGAAUAUUUCCGUGAAUAUUUUUUGGAUUAUUUUUUGAAUAUUUUUAAUUUCACCAACCAUCAUCGGACUGGUUCCCUAUGAAGAUCACUCCUUUUGUUUUCCUGGCAAUAUUGUAGAAAGCAAGAUAUGUGGCAAACACAGGUUUCCUUCCCCCUUAUCACAUGUGAUAAUCUUUGUAAUCAAUGAUUCCUUUGAAUAUUUCUUGAAUAUUUCCAUGAAUAUUUUCGUGAAUAUUUCCG